GUGGGGAAUAUUGGGCAAUGGGCGCAAGCCUGACCCAGCAACGCCGCGUGAAGGAAGAAGGCUUUCGGGUUGUAAACUUCUUUUACCAGGGACGAAACAAAUGACGGUACCUGGUGAAUAAGCCACGGCUAACUACGUGCCAGCAGCCGCGGUAAUACGUAGGUGGCGAGCGUUAUCCGGAUUUAUUGGGUGUAAAGGGCGUGUAGGCGGGACAGCAAGUCAGAUGUGAAAACCAGAGGCUCAACCCCUGGCCUGCAUUUGAAACUGUUGUUCUUGAGUGUCGGAGAGGUAAUCGGAAUUCCGUGUGUAGCGGUGAAAUGCGUAGAUAUACGGAGGAACACCAGUGGCGAAGGCGGAUUACUGGACGAUAACUGACGCUGAGGCGCGAAAGCGUGGGGAGCAAACAGGAUUAGAAACCCCGGUAGUCC
rnacentral:rRNA from 1 species